UACAGGGGGGGCAAGCGUUGUUCGGAAUUACUGGGCGUAAAGGGUUCGUAGGUGGCUCACUAAGUCACACGUGAAAUCCCUCAGCUUAACUGGGGAACUGCGUGUGAAACUGGAGAGCUUGAGGGUAGGAGAGGAAUGCAGAAUUCCAGGUGUAGCGGUGAAAUGCGUAGAUAUCUGGAGGAACACCGGUGGCGAAGGCGGCAUCCUGGACCAUUACUGACACUGAAUAGCGAAAGCCAGGGGAGCAAACGGG
rnacentral:rRNA from 1 species